rnacentral:rRNA from 1 species
GAUGAACGCUGGCGGCGUGCCUAAUACAUGCAAGUCGAGCGAACAGAUGAGGAGCUUGCUCCUCUGACGUUAGCGGCGGACGGGUGAGUAACACGUGGAUAACCUACCUAUAAGACUGGGAUAACUUCGGGAAACCGGAGCUAAUACCGGAUAAUAUAUUGAACCGCAUGGUUCAAUAGUGAAAGACGGUUUUGCUGUCACUUAUAGAUGGAUCCGCGCCGCAUUAGCUAGUUGGUAAGGUAACGGCUUACCAAGGCAACGAUGCGUAGCCGACCUGAGAGGGUGAUCGGCCACACUGGAACUGAGACACGGUCCAGACUCCUACGAGAGGCAGCAGUAGGGAAUCUUCCGCAAAGGGCGAAAGCCUGACGGAGCAACGCCGCGUGAGUGAUGAAGGUCUUCGGAUCGUAAAACUCUGUUAUUAGGGAAGAACAAAUGUGUAAGUAACUAUGCACGUCUUGACGGUACCUAAUCAGAAAGCCACGGCUAACUACGUG